rnacentral:lncRNA from 7 species
AAUACCACUGCAUUCCCCAGGGAACUGAGAAGUGCAGGAAUCUUUCUAAGCUAAAUAGAAUGCAUGAAAAUCACCCUUGCCCUCACAGUUGGAGAUCUCAGCAAGUUGUUGAGCAUAUGCACUUCAUCCUUGGGGUGGAACUCAUCCAUGAAUGUGUCAGGAAAGCUGCCAGAAGCAUCAUCUGUCUCAAGUUCUCAAUGCACCAUUCUGAUCCAUUGGCUCAGCCUUCUGUUAUUGAUGGUGAGAUUGGGACUGGGCUGGGUCUCAAUAACUUUGUGUCAAAGAGUGUUCUCUUUUACAGGUAAGGCCGGCAGGAGUUGUGUGUUUUAUUUCCUUGUUGGUAAUUAAAAUAUCUGGAUCAGUUACAUUACAGGAAGACUUGUUAUGUCGCUCACAGCACCAGAGGUUUGGACCUGCAGGCUGAGGAGGUUUGUUCUGCUGCUGUAUAUAUGCACGACCUGAAUGGGAUGCAAAGGUGUUGGGGAUCUGGGGGCAUUCAGCAUCAGCUGUGCAUCCAGGAGAUUGCUGACUUCUUCCCAAGGAGCUGAAAUCUCAUUCUUCUCUGUUUUAACGAAGCUUGCUGAUGCCCUUUUCUCUCAUUUGGUAAUCGGCUGAACUUCCUGGGAAAGGAACAGGAAAUGAGUGGAAGGAUCAGAGGCAGCAGAAAGGUGUGAGCUGGGCGACUUGCUGCUGAAAUAGGUGAAGGAGAAGGGUGAACCAGCCCUUCUGCAUUUCCCCUGCAGAAAGCAUUAAAGUGCAUACCUAAAAGAGGUUUCUAAAAGUUCAAGAGGUGAGGAGAAGCACUGGAAUGGAAAUCUCAUAGUGAUGGACCCUCACUGUGACAUUUUGAUGCUCUCUGGAGAGAAAUAUGGGCAUUUUGCUUCUCCCACCUUUGAGCUGAAGUAGUACACCAGCUGAAGUCCUUCACUCUUCUGUAUUUGAAAGGGUUUCAUUUUUGAUAAAGGUUCAGUGUUACAAAGAGAUACCAAAUCUUCAUGUGCCCUGUGCUUCAGCAAAGUACCGAUAACAGCAAUAAACCCCCUAACGUGAGAUGUUCUGGGGUUAUCUCUGAGGAAGGCUCCUCUUCAUUCGGCUGCCAAUUGCAAAUGAACCUAGUUAUAAAAUUUCUCUUUAUUGCCACCUUUCCAUAUCCCUGAGGUUAAUUCUGAAAUAUGCAUGAAAUGUAAUUAGUGCAGAUCCAUUUCUGCCAGCACGUUUUACACAAGUGGCUCCCGGUGGCAGAUCUGGAUGUAUUCAUAAUAAAAUGAUUCAGUUAAAU